rnacentral:rRNA from 1 species
ANGCAGCAGUGGGGAAUAUUGGACANUGGGGGCAACCCUGAUCCAGCCAUGCCGCGUGUGUGAAGAAGGCCUUCGGGUUGUAAAGCACUUUAAGCGAGGAGGAAGGUUUACUAGCUAAUACCUAGUAGAAUUGACGUUACUCGCAGAAUAAGCACCGGCUAACUCUGUGCCAGCAGCCGCGGUAAUACAGAGGGUGCAAGCGUUAAUCGGAAUUACUGGGCGUAAAGCGCGCGUAGGCGGUAUGUUAAGUCGGAUGUGAAAUCCCUGGGCUCAACCUAGGCACUGCAUCCGAUACUGGCACACUAGAGUGUGGGAGAGGAAGGUAGAAUUCCAGGUGUAGCGGUGGAAAUGCGUAGAGAUCUGGAGGAAUACCGAUGGCGAAGGCAGCCUUCUGGCCCAACACUGGACGCUGAGGUGCGAAAGCAUGGGGGAGCAAACAGGGAUUAGAUACCCUGGUAGUCCAUGCUGUAAACGAUGUCAACUAGCCGUUGGGAGCCUUGAGCUUUUAGUGGCGUAGCUAACGCGAUAAGUUGACCGCCUGGGGAGUACGGUCGCAAGACUAAAACUCAAAUGAAUUGACGGGGGC